rnacentral:rRNA from 1 species
GUGCCAGCCGCCGCGGUAAUACCGGCAGCCCGAGUGAUGGCCGAUCUUAUUGGGCCUAAAGCGUCCGUAGCUGGCUGCGCAGGUCCGUCGGGAAAUCCACUCGCCCAACGAGUGGGCGUCCGACGGAAACUGCACAGCUUGGGACCGGAAGGCUCGAAGGGUACGUUCGGGGUAGGAGUGAAAUCCCAUAAUCCCGCACGGACCACCGAUGGCGAAAGCACUUCGAGAAAACGGAUCCGACAGUGAGGGACGAAAGCUAAGAUCGCGAACCGGAUUAGAAACCCUAGUAGUCC